UUGAAAUACAAGUUGAACCUACCAGAAAAGGGGGGGUCCCUAAGGGAGGGCUUGUACAGGUGCUGCAUGGCGGUCGUCAGCUCGUGUCUUGAGAUGUUGGGUUAAGUCCCGCAACGAGCGCAACCCCUUUUCCUUGUUGCCACCUCGUUAUGUUGGGCACUCUAGUGGGACUGCCGGGGCCAACCGGGAGGAAGGUGGGGAUGACGUCAAGUCAUCAUGCCCCUUACGCCUAGGGCUACACACGUCCUACAAUGGCAGGUACAAAGGGCAGCGAACCCGCAAGGGGAAGCAAAUCCCAAAAACCCGGUCUCAGUCCGGAUUGCAGUCUGCAACUCGCCUCCGCGAAGUCGGAAUCGGUAGUAAUCGCG
rnacentral:rRNA from 1 species